rnacentral:rRNA from 1 species
AGAGUUUGAUCAUGGCUCAGAACGAACGCUGGCGGCAGGCCUAACACAUGCAAGUCGAGCGAGACCUUCGGGUCUAGCGGCGGACGGGUUAGUAACGCGUGGGAACGUACCCUUCUCUAAGGAAUAGCCACUGGAAACGGUGAGUAAUACCUUAUACGCCCUUCGGGGGAAAGAUUUAUCGGAGAAGGAUCGGCCCGCGUAAGAUUAGAUAGUUGGUGGGGUAAUGGCCUACCAAGUCUACGAUCUUUAGCUGGUUUUAGAGGAUGAUCAGCAACACUGGGACUGAGACACGGCCCAGACUCCUACGGGAGGCAGCAGUGGGGAAUCUUAGACAAUGGGCGCAAGCCUGAUCUAGCCAUGCCGCGUGUGUGACGAAGGCCUUAGGGUCGUAAAGCACUUUCGCCUGUGAUGAUAAUGACAGUAGCAGGUAAAGAAACCCCGGCUAACUCCGUGCCAGCAGCCGCGGUAAUACGGAGGGGGUUAGCGUUGUUCGGAAUUACUGGGCGUAAAGCGCACGUAGGCGGAUUGGAAAGUAUGGGGUGAAAUCCCAGGGCUCAACCCUGGAACUGCCUCAUAAACUUCCAGUCUAGAGUUCGAGAGAGGUGAGUGGAAUUCCGAGUGUAGAGGCGAAAUUCGUAGAUAUUCGGAGGAACACCAGUGGCGAAGGCGGCUCACUGGCUCGAUACUGACGCUGAGGUGCGAAAGUGUGGGGAGCAAACAGGAUUAGAUACCCUGGUAGUCCACACCGUAAACGAUGAAUGCCAGUCGUCGGCAAGCAUGCUUGUCGGUGACACACCUAACGGAUUAAGCAUUCCGCCUGGGGAGUACGGUCGCAAGAUUAAACUCAAAGGAAUUGACGGGGGCCCGCACAAGCGGUGGAGUAUGUGGUUUAAUUCGACGCAACGCGAA